rnacentral:rRNA from 1 species
UACGUAGGCAGCGAGCGUUGUUCGGAGUUACUGGGCGUAAAGAGUGCGUAGGCGGUUUUCUAAGUUUGGUGUGAAAUCUCCCGGCUCAACUGGGAGGGUGCGCCGAAAACUGGAAGGCUAGAGUACUGGAUGGGAGAGUGGAAUUCCUGGUGUAGCGGUGAAAUGCGUAGAUAUCAGGAGGAACACCUGUGGUGUAGACGGCUCUCUGGACAGUAACUGACGCUGAGACACGAAAGCGUGGGUAGCAAACAGG